ensembl:lncRNA
GCUGUUUGUCUCUGUCUGGUGAGAGUUUGGGUAUUUGACCUUUGGAUUUUCAAAGUAAACUUUAAAGUGCUUCUCUUACAACAUCAGAGCACCAGUGUCGGGCUAGCAAACGUGUCAACCCUCCUGAUAACUGCACCCUACUAGCCACCCAAACCGCAGCAGCCCCUAGCCUAUCAAUCACCACGGGCCAGCACAGAGAAGCUGCCUCCCCUGCCACUGGAUGAUGGAGGAGGGGGGAACUGGAGCUCCAUGCAUAUCAGCCGCUGCAUUUGUAGCCCUCCAGGAGAAGAGCAGGUGAAGGGCUGAGAGAAAGAUGUUAAGCUCGCAGCAAGACAGACGAAAGGAGGAUUACACUUUAUUGAGGGAAAGCUGGGAAAAUUACUCAGCGGAAAAGAAAACUGCUGGCAUGCCAUCAAAAACUCAUCCAGAAGAAUUACCAUAUGACUCUUUACCACUGACUGCCAAGAGAGGAAAAAAGGCUUGACUGUAAAACCGUAGGAGUGUUUUGCGUGUCUAAAGGCACAUGCUACAACUGCGCAGCUACAUCAAACACUUGAAUAAGCAUGCAUUAGUAUGCUUGUUUUAAUCUUGGAUUGCUCUGUGCUAUUUCCAGCACCUAUUGUGAAAAUGUCAAGUGGUGAAAUUGAACUGGGUUGCAGAUAUCUGUGGCUGUCACAAAUCUGUCUAAACAGGUUCUGACUGUUAAAAGAGAUUCCAGUGAGAGCCGUUUACCAUAUUGGCUAUUGACUGCUCAAAUUACAACUGUCAGUUUAACUAAAAUAUUAUUUGAAUUAUUUGGAUGACUUUGAAAGUGCAUGUCAGGGUUGACAUCACUCUUAAUAUCAAAUAAUAUCUUUUUCAGCUUUUAUAACAGGAACGGUGCUAAAAGGAAGUGACAAUUGUUGAGGUACCUGUAAAUGCAAUCCUCAAGGACUAGAAAUGCACUUUGAUGGGAAGACUGUCGGCACAGUUUUGGCGUUAAGACUAUUAGCUUGUUCUGAAUGUGCUUUCUGUUUAUGAGAAGUAUAACAUUUGUGAAUAUUUUUGAAACAGAUGUCUGUUGUUGAUUGGAUUUGCUGUAGAAACUAAUGUAUGACUGCAGAGAAAUUCAAAAAGAGUGAAUAGAUUGACACAAAUUGAAGUUUAGUGGCUAAUUAGCUUUAAAUGGGCCACUUAAUUGGUCUCGAAUGCAAUGAGAAAAACAUCCAUAUUUCACUUUGUCUUCAUUAACGCACUGGAAAGUGCUCAUUUGAUUUAUAAUAAUGAAGUUAAAUAGCAGAUAUUUAUUUCUUGGCCUAAAACAUUUUACUGAAGCAUUUAACAAGAUAAACUGAGGAAACAAACAUGUAAAUAUUGAAAUGAAAUGUUGCCAUGUUGAGCACACGGCUCACUGAUGAGACUCUAUAUUCUCAUUAAGCCAUUAAAACCUUCACAGAAUGCACAGCUUGUUAUCCUGUCAUAUAUCUUUUACCAUAUGACGGUUCUGGAAAUUGAUGCAAGACCAACAAAUGCAAUUAUAUUGCAAAAAAUUGGUCAUGAAUCAGAGAUCCAGCAAUGGUAGAUGUUCAAGAGGAAAGAGUUGGAGUCAGGAAACAGCACUAAGCUGUGGAAGGAUCACAGACCUGCCCUCUUGAAGAUGGCACCUGGGGGAUUCUGGCCAUAUGUUUAAGCUUUGUCUUUUCCUACAAAGUUAGUGCGCCCUUCAUCAUGCUUCGUCAAAGAGGAGUUUGGCUUUGACAUAGAGAAUAUGGGCUAGCGACGAGAGACGAGGUAUCAGAUAAGUGUCUCUCCUGGCUGCUUUUAAAUGGGGCCAACCGCUGCACUGAUUAUGGCAUAAUUAAAGCAGUAAAGCCAGGAGAUUAUCCACCUGGUUAUGGGCUCAAGUCUCUUCACUAAUAGGGCAAAUGAGCAGCUCCAGCUUGCAGGUUCGGGUCAGCCACGCGGCCGAUUAAUGGAGUUUAUUGGGAUCUGUUAAAAGCAUUAAGUGAAGACAAGAGCAGUAAUUCGUCAUGUUUAAAAGCAGGGAAAUUAAAUCAUAGCAGAGGGAAAUGAGCAUAGAUAAAGCAAAAAUGCUCUUUUAGAGGUUACCUGUUUGCAAGCUGUGUACUUUUGCGCAACGCACCCCUCCCCUCUGCGAGUCUCCUGGUGGACCACUUUCAUUCUCCUUUAAGUGGGUAAAUUGGAAAUAAUUGCCUCAACCAUAAACAGAAUUUGAUUAAAGGACAAAAGAUACCUGUGAGAGCAUAUGAGAGGAAAUUCAAUUGGAUUUGCGUAACUGCUAAGUGUGGCAGGAGCCGCAAACACACUUUCUCAUUUACCCUCACUGGCAACUGCGCUCAGCCCUGCUGGAAUCCAUGGGACAGUUUUAGGCUGAAUUUUUACCUAAAUUCAGUUUUUUUUAAUUAUGUUUAUGUAUUACAUUUACUAUAUUCUAUAUAGCUUUAUGCACAUUUAACAUUCUAAAAUGUGUGUUCUCUUUGAGCUGCACACUGUAUGUGCUUUUUAACAUGAUAACAGAACCAUAAUUUCACACAAAACUAAAUUUCCACUUCAUCUCCCUUUAAUCUACACUAUGUUCUCCUUGUUACUAAGCAUUCAAGUAACUCAAUUAAGCACCAGCAAAUAUCAUUACAGCCUCAAUAAAUGAGCAAAAAACUUCUCCCA